rnacentral:rRNA from 1 species
UAGGGAAUCUUCCGCAAUGGACGAAAGUCUGACGGAGCAACGCCGCGUGAGUGAAGAAGGAUUUCGGUUCGUAAAACUCUGUUGUUAGGGAAGAAAAGAUGUAUAGUAACUAUAUACAAAAGAGACGGUACCUAACCAGAAAGCCACGGCUAACUACGUGCCAGCAGCCGCGGUAAUACGUAGGUGGCAAGCGUUGUCCGGAAUUAUUGGGCGUAAAGCGCGCGCAGGUGGUUUAGAAAGUCUGAUGUGAAAGCCCACGGCUCAACCGUGGAGGGUCAUUGGAAACUAAUAAACUUGAGUGCAGGAGAGAAAAGUGGAAUUCCUAGUGUAGCGGUGAAAUGCGUAGAGAUUAGGAGGAACACCGGUGGCGAAAGCGGCUUUCUGGACUGCAACUGACACUGAGGCACGAAAGCGUGGGUAGCAAACAGG